rnacentral:rRNA from 1 species
UACGUAGGGGGCUAGCGUUGUCCGGAAUCAUUGGGCGUAAAGCGCGUGUAGGCGGCCCGGUAAGUCCGCUGUGAAAGUCGGGGGCUCAACCCUCGGAAGCCGGUGGAUACUGUCGGGCUAGAGUGCGGAAGAGGCGAGUGGAAUUCCUGGUGUAGCGGUGAAAUGCGCAGAUAUCAGGAGGAACACCUAUUGCGAAGGCAGCUCGCUGGGACGUAACUGACGCUGAGACGCGAAAGCGUGGGGAGCAAACAGG